CGUGCCAGCCACCGCGGUUAGACGAGAGGCCUAAGUUGAUAGCCACCGGCGUAAAGAGUGGUUAGGGACAAAAUAAAAACUAAAGCCGAAUAUCCUCACAGCUGUUAUACGCACCCGAAGAUAAGAAGCCCCUACGAAAGUAGCUUUAAUCCACCCGACUCCACGAAAGCUGUGAAACAAACUGGGAUU
rnacentral:rRNA from 1 species